rnacentral:lncRNA from 12 species
CCAAGAGUCAGUACAAGGAGAUGCUGGAGGGCACCGAGACACGCAGUGCCAAACCUUUGUGCGAGGAAGCAGCUGCUGCACAGGUGAGCCAGUGCGGCUUUGUAGUGGGAACUUGUCUCUUUUCCCUUUUCACUUUUACCUUGCCGCUCCCGCCCUGCUGCCCCCAGAAAAAACGGCGGCGACGAGGACAAAAGCAAUUUAAAUUGAGGGGAGUGAGUCCCGUUCCGUUACUGUGUGUUUAAACUCCGGGGAAUAUCCCGGCACCAGUAAUUUUAAGGUGACUGAAAGAGGCGGGCAGGUGCGAACCGUGCAGAGCCGAGCCGAGCUGUGCCGGAGAGGCAGAUCCAAAUUAACACCAGAGCCCGCGCCGAGUGCCCUGAGAAUCCAGACCCAAAUUAACUCCAGAGCCCUCUCCGAAAGCCCUGAGACACCAGACCAAAAUUAAUCACGGAGCCAUCAUUGAGAGGCCUGAGACGCCAGAGUCAAAUUAACCCUAACACCCUCCCCGGGGGUUCUGCGACCCCAGAUUCAAAUUAACCCUAGAGCCUUCCACGAGUGCCCUGAGACCCCAGACCCAAAUUAAACCCAAAGCCCUCCCCGAGUGACCUGAGACCCCAGACCCAAAUUAACCCCAAAGCCCUCCUAGUGCCCUGAGACCCCAGACCCAAAUUAACCCAGAUCGGAAGAGCGGACCCCAGACCCAAAUUAACCCCAGAGCCCUCCCCGAGUGCCCUGAGACCCCAGACCCAAAUUAACCCCAGUGCCCUACACGAGCCCCCUGACAUCCAAGACCCA